rnacentral:rRNA from 1 species
GAUGAACGCUAGCGGCAGGCCUAAUACAUGCAAGUCGAACGGUCCACUUCGGUGGAUAGUGGCGCACGGGUGCGUAACACGUAUGCAACCUACCUUACAUUGGGGGAUAGCCUUUCGAAAGGGAGAUUAAUACCGCAUAAGACAGUAACAUGGCAUCAUGUAGCUGUUAAAGAUUUAUCGAUGUAAGCUGGGCAUGCGUCCAAUUAGUUAGUUGGUGAGGUAAUGGCUCACCAAGACGAUGAUUGGUAGGGGAACUGAGAGGUCAAUCCCCCACACUGGCACUGAGAUACGGGCCAGACUCCUACGGGAGGCAGCAGUAGGGAAUAUUGGGCAAUGGACGCAAGUCUGACCCAGCCAUGCCGCGUGCAGGAAGAAGGCGUUCUGCGUUGUAAACUGCUUUUAUAUAGGAAGAAACGACCCUUGCGAGGGGCAUUGACGGUAUUAUAUGAAUAAGCACCGGCUAACUCCGUGCCAGCCGCCGCAGUAACAC